UCUAAAGCCAUUGGUGGAUGCCUUGGCAGAGAGAACCGAGGAAGGACGGUUGUAUAGGGCCGAUAUCGACGGGUUGCUCCUCAACAAGCUUUAUCCGUUGGUUUCCGAAUGGAGAAAUCCGCCCCGAUUUACAUCGUGGGCGAUCAAGCGUAAAUACAUAGCGCUUGAUCGGGUACCCCCCGAACUGAAACAUCUAAGUAGGGGGAGGAAAAUAAAAUAAUAAUGAUUCCCCAAGUAGCGGCGAGCGAAAAGGGAACAGGCUAAACUUCGUCCGCAAGGGCGGAGGGUUGUGGGACGCUUGAUGACAUAAACUUUUGGUAAAAGAAUCCUCUGGAAAGGGGAACCAUAGAAAGUGACAGUCUUGUAUUUUAAACUGAAAGUUUGUCUGUGCGUAUCCCAAGUACCACGCGACACGUCACCGUGUGGGAAUCCGUGACGACCAUCGUCAUAAGCCUAAAUAUUCUCUCUGACCGAUAGUGAACUAGUACCGUGAGGGAAAGGUGAAAAGAACCCCGGAAGGGGAGUGAAAUAGUAACUGAAACCAUUGGCUAACAAACAGCAGAAGUCCUUCGGCCGCAAGGCCUAGGGAUAACUGCGUGCCUAUUGAAGAAUGAACCGGUGAGUUGUCUGUGCUUGCGUUAGUUUAACCCCGCCAAGCGGGGGGAGGCGUAGUGAAAGCAAACCUUAACAGGGUGUUUUUAGCAUGUGCAGGCAGACCCGAAGCCCAGUGAGCUAACCUUGAGCAGGGUGAAUGCUGUCCGAAAGGACGCAGGAGGCCCGAACUCGUAGUCGUUGCAAUGACUUGAGAUGACUUGAGGUUAGGGGUUAUAUGCCUAUCGAACUGGGGUAUAGCUGGUUCUCCCCGAAAUAUAUAUAGGUAUAGCGGUCAAUUAUGAUUUUCUGGAGGUAGAGCACUGAAUUGACACGGCGGGGCAACUCGUUUUGUCAAAUCAAACUCCUAAUGCCAGAAAGUUUAUGUGGCCAGUCAGAAAGCGACGGCUAAGCGCCGUUUUCUAAAGGGAAACAGCCCAGACUCUUGAUUAAGGUCCCUAAAUUGAAACUAAGUCUAAGGAGGUCAGAUUUUUUAUACACCCAGGAGGUUGGCUCAGAAGCAGCCAUCCUUUAAAGAAAGCGUAACAGCUCACUGGAAUAAAAGUCAGGCGCCUAAAAUGAUCGGGAAUUAAGUUUCAUACCGAAAUCAGAGAUGUCCCGCUUUUGCGGGGCGUGGUAGGGGAGCGUUCUAACGGCAGCGAAGGUUACGACGUAAGUCGGGCUGGAGCUGUUAGAAGUGAGAAUGCCGGUAUGAGUAGCGUAAUUCAAAGUGAGACUCUUUGAAGUCGAAAACCCAAGGUUUCCCCGACAACGUUAAUCGGUCGGGGGUUAGUCGGCCCUAAGCGCGAUCCUUAAGGAGUAGCGCGAUGGACAAUUGGUUUAUAUUCCAAUACAGGAUUUAAUGCGUUAUCACCCAAGGGAGACAGAGGAAGGAUAGUUCUUCCCGCCGUAAAAGUUGGUGGGAUUAAGUACCGAAAUAGUGUUAACUGGAAAACCCGUUAAUAUGAUUAAUUAAGGUACGACAGAGGACGAGUCUUUGCUUUCCAGAAAAUUCUCGUGGGGAGUGUUAAGUUUUUCCGUACCGCAAACCGACUCUGGUGGGUAGGUCGAGAAGACCAAGACUUUCGGAUGAACUUUGGCUAAGGAACUCGGCAAAAAAGCUCGAUGUAACUUAGGGAGAUAUCGUCCCCGCACCGUCAGGGUACGGGGGUCACCAAAAGUUUAUUAUCUAACUGUUUAACUAAAACACAGGUCUGUGCAAAGCCGAAAGGCAACGUAUACAGGCUGAGGCCUGCCCAGUGCUAGUAGAUCAAAAAUGGGGGUGAUUCCGAUUUAUUCGGAGCAGCUCUUGUUCAAAGUCCUAGUGAACGGCAGCAGUAACUAUAACUGUUCUAUGGUAGCGAAGUUCCUCGACAGGGGGCCUUGUGAUAAUCUAAACGUCACAUGGCGAACUUGACUAUAUGCUGGAAUAUCUGAAGUAUCUUGCACUACCUGACAAAAAUAUAUAACAUGGAUUUAUGUCGGGUGACAAUGUGUCAAGUGCAGACAAUCAGCAGGGAACGUUGUACUAUUAUUUUACCGGCUUUAUAGUCGGUGAAAGUUCCGUAAGUAUAAUAAAGGCGACAAAUAAAGGGACAGGGCAAGGUUUUUAUUUUGCUUUGGAUUUAACCGUAAGUAAUGCCGAUUUAAUUUUAUUAAAAGAAUUAAACCAGGUUGUUGCUUGCGAAAAGGGAAUUAUUUCUCCUAUAAAAGGAGGCUAUAACCUUUCAAUCCGAGGGAAAGAAAAAAUAAAACCAGCGUUGUCUUUUUUAAAUAGAUUUCCACCUCCAGCAGGGGAUCUUUUUAAAGAAAAACUAAAUAUUCUUAAAAAGGCUCUGGAGCUUUUAUCAGUUAAAAACUAUAAAAUUGAGGAGGUUGAGAAAUUACGCCAAAGACUUAAGGAUAUUAAAAUAACCGCAAAAGCGGUAAAACACUUUCCAGUAAUAUUCGACGUGAGAAGUGUGGGGUAUUUUCUUUCAGGUAUCGUAGACGCAGAAGGGUCAAUGGGUUGGCGAAGGUCAGGUAACCGACAGCAACCAUAUUUCUGUGUUCUUAUGCGGGAAGAAGCCAUUAUUGAUUUAUUUAUAAAACAAUUUGGUUUUGGGCAUAAAUAUUAUCGACCAAAAGAAAAACUUCAUCAUUUUGAAACGGGCAAAAGGGAAGAUGUGGCCAAACUUGCAGAUUAUUUUUUAAAUAAAUUUCCGGUUAAAUUGGCAAAAAAUCGCCAAAGACUGGAAAAUUUACAACGGAUCCUCAACGACUACAUGCCAAGCCC
rnacentral:rRNA from 1 species